AAUAAGCGAAAAUAUUUAUAUUUCUCGUUUUUAAGUAUAAAAAGAAAUUAUUAGGUAAAAAAUAGCUAUAUGUUAAAGUAUAUAACAAGAUAAUGAGAACUUGGGUAAAUCUAAAAUUAAACAAAGUUAAUUGAAGUAUCUUAUUAGCUUUAGGAAUAUAAAUCAAAUGAGAUUUUAUGCUUUAUUAGACCAAGCAUAAAAAAGCCUUUAAAGUAAAACGGUUAUUGUCUGUUUGAAAAUUUAAAUCAACUAUAUAAAUGUGAUUAUUAGGGAAACCUUUCUCUAAGGCUAAAUAUAACAUAUAAGCGAUAGUGAAAUAGUACCGUGAGGGAAUUUUUAUAAUUAGUGAUUUUAUAAGCAGCUCAAGUAUUUAAUGACAUAUAAUAAGAGCGUACCUUUUGCAUAAUGGGUCAGCAAGUUAACAUAAUGUGCAAGAUAGAAACAUUAUUGUUAUUCUAUAAAAAGUAAUGCAGAAUAAUAAUGAGUUUUUGUCCUAGACAAACCAAUUAUUAAAUAAUGAAUUAGUAUUUUAUGUUAGACCCGAAGCCUAGUGAUCUUACUAUGAUCAGGAUUAUAAAAGUUCGAAUGGUUUACCGUUGUAAAGGUAUCCAAUGAAUUGUGGUAAGUAAGUGAAAGACAAAACUGACUAGGAUAGCUGGUUUUCUGCGAAACCUAUUUAAGUAGGCGAUUUGAAUAACAUUACAGCAGGUAUAGAAUUGUGAUCUCAGGCAAGUUUAUAUUAUUUUCUAGCUAUUAGCUAAAAAGUAUAUUACAAUGCAUACAUUGGGGGAUCGUGAAGAUUUUAUCAGUGAGGAUUUGCUCUCAGAAGGGCAGUAAUGAUUUUUAAGUUAUCAGACAUAGUACGAUAAGGUUGUAUGUCUAAAGGGAAACAGCCCAGAACAAGUGUUAAAAGUUCCAAAAUCGUUAUUAAGUGAAAUUGAGGGAGUAUUAUUCACAUACAAUCAGAAAAUAGGCUUAGAAGCAGCCACUUUUUAAAGAUCUCGUAACAGAACACUGAUUUAAUAUUUGGCGUAGAUUUAUUCUCCCAAAUAGUUGAAGGCACCGAUGAUAUAACGGAUCUAAAUAACGUACUAAAACCUUGUCUAUAUUUAAUGUUUAAGCGGCAAUUACAAUAAGUAAAUAGCUUUUAUAAAUAUUAAGUAAAGGGUAGCAGAACAUUGGGUAUAUAUAAGAUUUAAUCUUUUAAAGAUUAAAAAAAUAAUAAUGUAAUUUUAUGCAUAUAUUAUUAAUAUUGCAUUAUAUGUAAUAUUCAAAAAACUAUAAAUAAUAUAUGUAUUAAUUUCAUCUUAAAUAAGAUUAUGCAUGAUAUAAAAGUAACGUAUUUUAUUAAUUAUUAAUCUCAAGUGAGAAUGCUGACAUGAGUAACGAUAAAGGGUGGAAAAAUGCCCUCGCCUUAAGCUUAUGGUAUUCAUUAAAACGGUCUCUAAGUUAUUGUCCUAAAGGAAUUAACGAUGAGAAUGUAAGAAUUAAUUUCUUAUAUUAAACUUGAUACUAAACUCCUAAUGUAUUAAGUUCAGGAAAAUUAAAUUAAUAUACCGUACCUAGAAACUAACACAAGUAAGCAAGUAGAGUAUACAAAGGCGUUAGAGAUAACAAUCAUUAAGGAACUCGGCAAAAUGACUCCGUAACUUAGGGAUAAGGUGUACCGUUUGCAUGUUGAUACUUUAACGCCCAAGUUAUAGUGCCUUUAGGUACUAUAAUUAAGGUGUUUGCUGUAUAAGUAAUAAUUUUAUUCUGUACAGAACGCAACAUGUAAAUAGGAAGCAUAGAAUGGUGUUGUACGACUGUUUAAUUAAAACAAAGCACUUUGCAUAAGAUGUAAAAUCAAAGUAUUGAGUGUGAUGUCUGCCCGAUGUUGGCUGGUUAACGGAUUUCUUUUGUAAGAUAAGUAUAUUAUUGAGCUAGAGUUUGAAGGAAACCCCAAUCAAUGGCGGCCUUACCGAUGAGGGUCCUAAGGUAGCGGAAUACCCUGGCCGUUAAAUGCGGUCUUGCAUGAAUGAUGUAACGAUACAACAGCUGUCUCAAUGAUUGACUCGGUGAAAUUGGAAUAGCUGUGCAGAUACAGUUUACCUCUAGUUAGACGAGAAGACCCUAUGCAGCUUUACUGUUUUUAGCUAUUGUGUAUAACGAAAUAAAUUGUAGUGUAUAAGGUAAUUGAUGAAAUAAAGUUGAAACACCUUUAUUUAAUUUGUUAUACAAAUUAAUAAUUAAGACAUUAUUAAAAAAAUUAAUAUUUACAUUUGCUAUUAGACAGUUUAUGCGGGGCACAGAUCCCAUAAAAAGUACCUGGGUGUAUCCAAAAUUUAGUAAAUUUAACAGUUAUAUUCGUGAUAAUUGGUUAAUAACCUUUAUCAAGAAGAUAAUAUGUUUGUAUUAUUUUAUAUAAGACUUUAAGUCAUAGAUAAAAUCUAUAUAUCCAAUUAUACAUCUAUUAGGUUAGAUUAUUAUAUUUUAUUAGGUAAGAUUUUAACUAUAUGGAAAAUAGAUUUGAAUGUUUAAUUACUAUUUAGUUACCAUAGUAUCUAAAUAUACCUUACAAUAUUAAUUUACUUUAUAAAUUUUUAUUGUUUGCUAUAAGAAAAACAGAGUUAUUUUGUUAUUUAGUUUAUAAAUAUUAUAAGUAUGUAACAAGGUAAUAUUUAUAAACACUUUAAAAGUUUAACGGCUUAAUCUUGCUUUACUGUUUGACUUACAUGUCUAUCAGUUGCGUAAGCAGGGCAUAAGAUCACAAGAUGCAUAAAGGAAAGGUCUUGGAUUAAUGAAAAAGUUACGCUAGGGAUAACAGGCUAAUUGCGCCAGAGAGUACAAAUUGAGUGCGCAGUUUGGCACCUCGAUGUCGGCUUAGCUCAUCCACAUGAAUGCAGGAGUCAUGAAGGGUUUGACUGUUCGUCAAUUAAAGAGCUACACGAGCUGGGUUAA
rnacentral:rRNA from 1 species